rnacentral:rRNA from 1 species
GAAAGAUCGAAUGGGGAGAUUCAGCGUACAGCGGCGCUGGAUUCUGGUUACGGCGGAGCGGCCAAGUGACCCGCGUCACGGCGGCCAAUUCGCGUCCGGCGUCGUCGUCGUGCACUUCUCCCCUAGUAGAACGUCGCGACCCGUUGGGUGCCGGUCUACGGUCCGAGCGGUAGACUGUCCGCGCGCGCUCUUCGCGGGGCGCGCGCGAGAGAGACCCUCGGUCGCCCGGCCGGCUGCCCGGCGGUAGAAAGCAUUUGGUAUCUGGCCGCAAACAUUCUCUAACUGCGUCGCGGGACCGCCGCAAGCGCGGCCAGUGUUUAACCCGGAGGUACGGACCCGGCUCCGUCACCGGGCCUGGCCAGCUGUUGGCAGGCGGAUCCCCUUGGACGGGCCGUGAUCGAAAGAGAUAGAUACCGGUCGGCGACGCUAUUGCUUUGGGUACUCUCAGGACCCGUCUUGAAACACGGACCAAGGAGUCUAACAUGUGCGCGAGUCAUUGGGACUGCGAAGCCUAAAGGCGAAAUGAAAGUGAAGGUCGUCCUCGCGACGACCGAGGGAGGAUGGGUCGCGUCACGACGCGGCUCCGCACUCCCGGGGCGUCUCGUUCUCAUUGCGAGAAGAGGCGCACCCAGAGCGUACACGUUGGGACCCGAAAGAUGGUGAACUAUGCCUGGUCAGGACGAAGUCAGGGGAAACCCUGAUGGAGGUCCGUAGCGAUUCUGACGUGCAAAUCGAUCGUCGGAACUGGGUAUAGGGG